GUCCACACACACCUCAGCCCUGACUUACAGGUCGGAACACUUCUAGUCCACACACACCUCAGCCCUGACUUACAGGUCGGAACACUUCUAGUCCACACACACCUCAGCCCUGACUUACAGGUCGGAACACUUCUAGUCCACACACACCUCAGCCCUGACUUACAGGUCGGAACACUUCUAGUCCACACACACCUCAGCCCUGACUUAUGGGUUGGAACACUUCCAGUCCACCCAUCCCCUUAGCACCGACUUACAGGUCGGAACACUUCUAGUCCACACACACCUCAACCCUGACUUAUGGGUUGGAACACUUCCAGUCCACCCAUCCCCUUAGCACCGACUUACAGGUCGGAACACUUCUAGUCCACACACACCUCAGCCCUG